AAAUGACACUACUGCAGUUAGGUGAAUUUGCAAAUUGUUUUAAGAUAUAAAAAUUGUUCAUUUAAACAAUAAAUGUUAUUGUUAUUUUAACACCCUGAAGAGUUUGGCACAAUUAAAGGGAAAAAAUCCUACUUUUUCAGACUUUUUCAGAGGGCAGGUCAAGUCCUGUUUUUUUUCCAAAAGCCAAAAUGAAGUGUACUGAGGAGAUUGGACAGUUGACGGUUUAUUCACUCACCAAGAACUGAUAAGCAAAUUGUAGAGAUUAGGCUGAAAUGGCUGAAUUGGUAAAAAAAAAAAAAUCGCAGUCACUAAUUUUCUUUUUUUCCAAUACUUUUGGUUUUGUUCACAAUUAAAUUUUCAUUUUAUGACUCUUUAAAAUCACAAUUAAAAUGUAUAUACGAAAAAAAAAAAUAGACAAUUUACCUAUGAAUUUGACAAAAAGUUUAGUGCAGUAGCAGCAAAAUAAAAGAUUCAGAAAGCCUUAUUUCUACAAAUAUAUACUUUUGCAUAGCAUCUCUGGAUUUGGUGAAUAUAAGCCACAUAAACAACAUUGCCAAAUGUUCACUUUAAAACAUUAAUUCACUCCUUAAAAUAUUCACCCUAUAACUUCCAAAAAAUGAUUGUGACACAUUGCAUAACCUUGAAUGAUAAAUUCAUCUAUUUUGAUACAUUUUAUUUAGCCACACUUAUUAUUGUAAUCAAAAAUGUGAAAAAUAUUUUCCCCAUUUUUUUUAUUUUUUUAUAUUUACCUCAGAGACUAGUGUGACUCUACUCAGCUUCCCAAAGUUCUCCCAAGUAGAUAAUAAUAACAAUGAGAAAAUGUGGACCUUAUGGGCAUCCUGACAAUCAAGAUAAUUUUUAUCUUUCACCUAUUAUUUAAUGCUUUAAACUAAAAACUGAUUCGUUGUCAAUACAGUUACAAUAAUAUCAGAUACAGAUGUUAAAGUCAGAUUAUCAUCCAUUUAUAAAAGUGUCUGAUAGGGAAUCAAAAUGGAGACACAGAGUUCCAGAAUAGAUGGGAUGAUUUCUACAUUUAAUUUUAGUUAGACCUCACAAAAACAUAUUUGCUAAAUACAGGGGCUAAGUAAAUAGAAUAUUAAAAAACCUGGUAAGUAACCAUUUUUUUGUAUGUAUGUAUUUAUUUUUUUUCAAAAAAGUAAAUUCAGAGUAUCAGAGAGACUAUGUUUAGGAAUAAACAUUUAAAGGUAUCAACAGUGGAAUACAAUAUGGUUUUAUAAAGGAUAGAUCAAUUCAAACUACUGAGGAUAUGUUUUUGUGCGGUCUAACUAAAAUUAAAUGUAGAAACCAUCCCAUCUAUUCUGGAACUCUGUGUCUCUAUUUGGGUUUUUCUAAAAGCAUUUUAUAUUGUUCCACAUAAAAGUAUAGUACAAACUGAAAGAAAUCAGUUUAGAAGAAACAAUUGUGGUUGCAAAAAAACAAAACAAUACCCCAAAACACCUUGCUCCAUUUUAAGAGACAAUCUACUGCCCAAAUAAAACAAACAGUUUAGAUAUAUCCCCAAUGUAAAGGUAAGUAUGUGGGUUUUUUGGGGGUGUAUAUUUACAAACAGCUUGCAAAAGCUGCAGAUCUCUUGUCUGCAGCCUUUGAAAGCCCUCUCCUUUUCCCAAGCCCAGACUUUCUGUGUCUGUCCAAUCACAGACUUCCCAAUGCAGCUCAAUGAGACGUCUUUGCAAGGCAGGUGCUCUGGGCAAUUGCUGCCUCUUGAGUUUAGCUCCACUGAGCAAACCAAACCAGGAAAUACAGGACCGGUUGUGUGACUGACAGCCAGAGCAUGUAACCAGGUUAAUUUAUAAAAGUGUCAAUUUCUAUUGAAAUCUGCAUUUUUUGAAAAAUGAAAAAAGAGGACACACAAGCAAGUUGAAGUGCUUUAUGGGUCUGGCGUGUCCCUUUAAAGAGUUACCUAAAUC